UGUAGAAUUACUGUUAGUAGUUUUGGUGGUAGUGUUAGUGUCAGUAUUAGAUUGGUGUUAGUAUUCAUGUUGGUGUUGGUGUUGGUGGUGUGGGUGUUCAGCUGAGUGUUGGCAUGUAGUAUUACUGUUAGUAGUUUUGGUGGUAGUGUUAGUGUCAGUAUUAGAUUGGUGUUAGUAUUCAUGUUGGUGUUGGUGUUGGUGGUGUGGGUGUUCAGCUGAGUGUUGGCAUGUAGAAUUACUGUUAGUAGUUUUGGUGGUAGUGUUAGUAUUAGUACUUGUGUUAUUAGUGUUCAUUGGUGUUGGUGUAUUAGUACUGCUUUUACUGUUAAUGUCACUAUGAGUCUUAGUGAUAAUGUUUGCAUUAAUAUAAGUGUUAGUGUUCAUAUUAGUCCUGAUGUUAGUGUUAGUCUUAGAAUGAGUGUUUGUAUUUGUGUUAGUUUUUGUGUUUAAUUUAGUCUUGUUAUUAGUGUUUAUAUUAGUAUUAGUGUUAGUGUUAAUAUUAGUGCUGUAUUGGUGUUACUGUUAGUAUUGUUGGGUGCUAGUGUUGGCACAAGGCAUUAGCAUUAAUGUUAGUAUUAUUGUUAGUGGUGGCAUUAGUGUUGGUGUCAGUUGCAUUGGCAUUAGUAUGUUAGUGUUGGUGUUGGUGUUAGUGUUGGCACAUAGAGUUAGUAUUAGUAUUGGGGUUAGUGUUGGUGUUAGUGUUGGCACAUAGAAUUGUAUUAGUGUUGGUGUUAGUGUUGGUGUCGGUGUUAGUGUUGGCACAUAGAAUUAGUAUUAGUGUUGGUGUUGUUGGCAUUAGCACUUGUGUUUGUAUAGGAUUCCCGUCAGUGUUAGCAUUAGUGUUGGUGUUGUUAUUAGUGUUAGUGCUGGCGUUAGUGUUAGUGCUGGCGUUAGUGUUGGUGUUUGCUUUGGUUUGGGUGUUGGUGUUAGUGUUGCUGUUUGUGUUAGUUUUAGUGUUGGUGUUGUUGGAAUUAGCAUUUGUGUUUGUAUAGGAUUCGUGUUAGUGUUAACAUUGGUGUUGGUGUUAUUGUUAGUGUUGGUAGUGCUGGCGUUAGUGUUAGUGUUGGCGUUAGUGUUAGUG
rnacentral:lncRNA from 13 species